rnacentral:rRNA from 1 species
UACGAAGGGGGCUAGCGUUGUUCGGAAUUACUGGGCGUAAAGCGCGCGCAGGCGGUCUUCCAAGUCAGUGGUGAAAGCCCGGAGCUCAACUCCGGAACUGCCAUUGAAACUGUUGGACUUGAGUACGAGAGAGGUGAGUGGAAUUCCCAGUGUAGAGGUGAAAUUCGUAGAUAUUGGGAAGAACACCGGUGGCGAAAGCGGCGCACUGGACCACAACUGACGCUGAGGCGCGAAAGCUAGGGGAGCAAACAGGG